CUACGUGCCAGCAGCCGCGGUAAUACGUAUGUCACAAGCGUUAUCCGGAUUUAUUGGGCGUAAAGCGCGUSUAGGUGGUUAUGUAAGUCUGAUGUGAAAAUGCAGGGCUCAACUCUGUAUUGCGUUGGAAACUGCAUGACUAGAGUACUGGAGAGGUAAGCGGAACUACAAGUGUAGAGGUGAAAUUCGUAGAUAUUUGUAGGAAUGCCGAUGGGGAAGCCAGCCUACUGGACAGAUACUGACGCUAAAGCGCGAAAGCGUGGGUAGCAAACAGGAUUAGAUACCCUGGUAGUCCACGCCGUAAACGAUGAGUGCUAGGUGUUAGACCCUUUCCGGGGUUUAGUGCCGCAGCUAACGCAUUAAGCACUCCGCCUGGGGAGUACGACCGCAAGGUUGAAACUCAAAGGAAUUGACGGGGGCCCGCACAAGCGGUGGAGCAUGUGGUUUAAUUCGAAGCAACGCGAAGAACCUUACCAGGUCUUGACAUCCC
rnacentral:rRNA from 1 species